rnacentral:rRNA from 1 species
AUUGAACGCUGGCGGCAGGCCUAACACAUGCAAGUCAAGCGGAGCGGCGGACGGGAGAGUAAUGCCUAGGAAUAUGCCAGGUCGUGGGGGCUAACGUCCGGAAACGGGCCCUAAUACCGCAUCCUAUCCGGUGCGCCUAGGUCGGAUUAGCUAGUUGGUGGGGUAAAGGCCUACCAAGGCGACGAUCCGUAACUGGUCUGAGAGGAUGAUCAGUCACACUUGAACUGAGACACGGUCCAGACUCCUACGUGAGGCAGCAGUGGGGAAUAUUGGACAAUGGGCGAAAGCCUGAUCCAGCCAUGCCGCGUGUGUGAAGAAGGUCUUCGGAUUGUAAAGCACUUUAAGUUGGGAGGCGUUACCAACAGAAUAAGCACCGGCUAACUUCGUGCCAGCAGCCGCGGUAAUUC